UUCCUCUGCGGUAUUCACAACCAAAACACUGAAUGUUGUGCUAAAUGCAUAAAAACAUGGAAGUGCUGUUGACUAGAAAAUAGAAUAAACAAAAGUGAGAGCGAUCCCUCUUUUUUCAGUGUCCAAACUGACAAAAUAGGGAAGAAGUAAACUAAAUGUUUAAAACUAUUUGUUUUAAUGACUGUAAGUAGCAAGAGCAGAGUGCAGCUUGAUAACCAUUAUGCUCAGAGCUCAUUGGAAAACAGAUUUUCCACCCCACAAAAAAAUUCAAAAAAACUCAAACCCAUCACGAAUCAGGACAAAAAGGCGAAGUUUCAAAAAAAUUUCACAUAAUUAAAAGGCCAACAUUUUAAUGUCAGUCUAAACAUUUCGUUCUGACAAAUCUGAAAUGUUGUUUCAGCUUCAACCCUUUGUAAUUUUUACAUAAAGUAAAUUUCUAAACAAAGUGUCAUUUCAAAACAAAAACAUCAAAACUGGUUUUUGUUCCAAAAACAUCGAAAUGGGACAUUUCUACAUCUUAAAAGUCGUAUUCAAAAUGUUUUUUUAAAAAAAAUAUGUAGAAAUCAAUACAAUUUUGGGGGGGAAAAAUCCCGUUUCAUUUUUGACUCGCCCUUUUUGACUUUGCCCGUUUUAACACGAAACGGACACUGACACUCACACCCCCGUAAGACAGAGUUACUGGUAACAGCUUUGAAGAGUCAUGUUUUUAUUUUAAUGGUAUUACAGUAUUUUUUACCUCCUAAACCCCCCCCCCCCCCCCCAAUAACCACCCACAGGGCACUUCGAGACGCGCCGCAGGCUGAAGUCAGAGCGCGCGUGUGCCCAGAUUCCCAGCCGAGCGCAGCAGCAGGUCCCAGCCCCGGCCCGCUCCCCUCGCGGCGCGGGGAGGCGAGCUCGCCCCGGGUCGGAGCGCUGGGCCGGCAGCUCUCUCCCGCGGGGGCGAGGCAGGACACCCCCGCUCAGCGCGCCGGGGCUAAGGGCUCGCCGUCCUCGUGCCAGCAGGGGCAGGAGCCUCGCGGCGGGAAUCGACCUCCCGCUAAAGCGACCCCAGAGGCUGCAGAUAGACAGUCAAGAGCAAUGAGUACAGAGUAAAUUCUCAUACGUCACGAGAGAUGAGGCAGAUAACAUCAGACAGAUAACAUCAGAUAAUUCCAGAACAGAAGAAAUGUGCACGAAAGUGAAGGCGCAUGCAGUUCACUAGGAAAUAUGACCAUGCAAAUGUCAGUGGAAUAAAAGCUAACGAAAGAAAGCAGAAAACAUGAGCAACUACAACGGAAGACUUUGGGGACAGGAAACAAAGGAGGGAAAACUGUGUGGAUUAUGUAGUAAAACACACCAGCCUCCCUGGAAAAGAUGCUACAUGUCAGAAAAAGGGACUUUAAGCAGGGAGUGGUGAUAACACGAGAUAGAUCCAGAGAAAGAGGAUAUAGCCACAGCAGAGACUUUAACAGAGCUGUCUGUGAAAGCACAUAGGAUUCUGAUGAACCAGAGCAGAAGAAAAAAAAUUCACUGACGAAAUGGAAUUAUAAACAUGGUGUAUGUGCAGUGGAAACCUGGACCAGAGCAUAAUGUCUGGUGAAGAUAUGGAAAGAGCUCCAAGUAGCUCCCCUACAUCUCUCUAGUAGGGGAAGGUCUCUCAGAGACAUAGCAGGGGCUGCUUGCCCUCUGAUGGAAUGAGCCCUUACCCCUUCCAGUGGUUGUGGGGUAGGGGGAUGCAGGUGAGUGCAGAUCUCUUCAGCAGAGGUGACCAUCAUGGAGUCCCAGAAUCGCAAAAGAGCUCCAGCAUGGACUGAAUGGGAGGUACGGGAUCUGAUCGUUGUAUGGGGAGAUAAAUCCGUGCCAUCAGAACUCCAUUCCAAAAGACAAAAUGCCCAAACAUUUAAAAAAAUCUCCAAGGGCAUGAAGGACAAAGGCUAGAAGAGGAACCCGCAACAGUGCUGCGUGAAACUUAAGCAGCUGAGGCAAGCCUACCAAAAAAAGAGGCAAACGGCUGCUUGGGGUCAAAGCCCCAGACAUGCUGCCUCUAUGAUGAGGUGCAUGCCAUUCUAGGGAAUGCAGCCACCACUACCCCACCCCUGUGCUUUGACUCCGUCAAUGGACUAUCACGCAACAGGGAAGUGCAUUUUGGGGAUGAGGAAGAGGAGGAGGUUGAAGAUAGCGCACAGCAAGCAAGCAGAGAAACCGUUUUCCCUGAGAGCCAGGAACUGUUUCUCACCCUGGACCUGGAGCCAGUACCCCCUGAACCCACCCAAAGCGGGCUCCCGGAUCUGCCAGGUGGAGAAGGGACGUCUGGUGAGUGUACCUUUGUGAAUAUAAUACAUAGUUUAAAAGCAAGCGUGUUUAAUGAUUAAUUUGCCCUGAAGACUUGGGAUGCAUUCGUGGCCAGUACAGCUACUGGAAAAGUCUGUUAACAUAUCUGGGGAUGGAGCGGAAAUCCUCCAGGGACAUCUCCAUAAAUCUCUCCUGGAUGGUCACUCCUCAUGGUCACCUGGUUGAAAUAGG